rnacentral:tRNA from 1 species
GGAGAGGUGUCCGAGUGGUUGAUGGUGCCGCUCUCGAAAAGCGGUGUGCGAUAGCACCGUGGGUUCGAAUCCCACCCUCUCCGCCA